AAUAAAUAGUCUGAAUAGACGAUAGGGCUCGAUAGUCCGAAUAGAUGAUAAGGUUCGAUGGUUCGAAUAUACGGUAGGGUUCGAUAGUCUGAAUUGACAAUAAGGUUCAAUAGUCCGAAUUGAGAAUAAGGUUCAAUAGUCCGAAUGGGCAAUGCGGUUCGUCAGUAUGACACUUCGGACAAUCAGACCUUAUUGUCGAUUCGGACUAUCGGACUUUAUAGUCCUUUCGGACUAUCGAACCUUAUUGUCAAUUCGGAAUAAUGAACCUAUUGAACCUUAUUUUCGCUACGGACUUUUGAACCUUCAGACUGAUUAACCUUAUUCUUAAUUCGGACUAUCGAACCUUCGGAUAAAUGAACCUUCGUACUAAUGAACCUUCGGACUAUUGCAUCAAAUGUUCGGAUUAACGAACCUUAUUUCAUUUUCGGACUAACGAACCCCCUCUUAUGGAAAUUUUGUGCCUAAAGAACCAUCGGGCGGCCCCCGACCUAGCCAGACCUAUCAGGUUGAUAUUCCAGUUCAUGUAUGUCAGUUCACCUUAAAAGUUUCUUAGAAUAUCAGAUAUGGCCAGGUCAGUAUUGUGAAAUACUUAUACUCAUUCACUGUAAUUUCUUAAAACAAGGGUGAGUCGACAAUGAUAAAAGUAUUCCUUCCUUUGAUAACAUUUGUAAAAUUGAUAGCAUUCAUGGAAUUUUUUAUUUACUUUUUAACCAUGCCUAAUUUUGUGUUUACACAAUCUU